UACGAAGGGGGCUAGCGUUGCUCGGAAUCACUGGGCGUAAAGGGUGCGUAGGCGGGGCGUUAAGUCAGGGGUGAAAUCCUGGAGCUCAACUCCAGAACUGCCUUUGAUACUGAAGAUCUUGAGUUCGGGAGAGGUGAGUGGAACUGCGAGUGUAGGGGUGAAAUUCGUAGAUAUUCGCAAGAACACCAGUGGCGAAGGCGGCUCACUGGCCCGAUACUGACGCUGAGGCACGAAAGCGUGGGGAGCAAACAGG
rnacentral:rRNA from 1 species